rnacentral:rRNA from 1 species
AUGGGUAGGAAAAGUGNCCCUNCCAUGGUUUCCACCGGGUAACGGNAAAUAAAGGUUCGAUUCCGGAGAGGGAGCCUGAGAAACGGCUACCACAUCCAAGGAAGGCAGCAGGCGCGCAAAUUACCCAAUCCCGACACGGGGAGGUAGUGACAAUAAAUAACGAUACAGGGCCCUUUCGGGUCUUGUAAUUGGAAUGAGUACAAUGUAAAUACCUUAACGAGGAACAAUUGGAGGGCAAGUCUGGUGCCAGCAGCCGCGGUAAUUCCAGCUCCAAAAGCGUAUAUUAAAGUUGUUGCAGUUAAAAAGCUCGUAGUUGAACCUUGGGCUUGGCUGGCCGGUCCAUCUUUUUUNAUGCGUACUGGACCCAGCCGAGCCUUUCCUUCUGGCUAGCCUUUUUGGCGAACCAGGACUUUUACUUUGAAAAAAUUAGAGUGUUCAAAGCAGGCCUUUGCUCGAAUAUAUUAGCAUGGAAUAAUAGAAUAGGACGUUAUGGUUCUAUUUUGUUGGUUUCUAGGACCAUCGUAAUGAUUAAUAGGGACGGUCGGGGGUAUCAGUAUUCAGUAGUCAGAGGUGAAAUUCUUGGAUUUACUGAAGACUAACUACUGCGAAAGCAUUUUACCCAANGACGUUUUGGGUUCCUUUCCCCCAAAGGGGNGUUUCCANAA